rnacentral:rRNA from 1 species
UACGAAGGGGGCUAGCGUUGCUCGGAUUUACUGGGCGUAAAGGGCGCGUAGGCGGCGUGGUAAGUCACUUGUGAAAUCUCUGAGCUUAACUCAGAACGGCCAAGUGAUACUGCUGUGCUAGAGUGCAGAAGGGGCAAUCGGAAUUCUUGGUGUAGCGGUGAAAUGCGUAGAGAUUGGAAAGAACACCGAUGGCGAAGGCACUUUACUGGGCUAUUACUAACACUCAGAGACGAAAGCUAGGGUAGCAAAUGGG